rfam:Aedes albopictus isolate Foshan contig16599, whole genome shotgun sequence.
CCAACGGCCCUUUUCAGGGCCACCGAAAAUUUCGAUCAGGAGUAUUU